AUUGAACGCUGGCGGCAUGCCUAACACAUGCAAGUCGAACGGUAACAGGCCCUUCGGGGUGCUGACGAGUGGCGGAUGGGUGAGUAACGCGUGGGUGAUUUGCCUCCGAGUGGGGAACAACACCGGGAAACUGGUGCUAAUACCGCAUGACAUCUUCGGGUCGUACCGGAGAUCAAAGCUGGGGACCGCAAGGCCUAGCGCUUGGAGAGAAGCCCGCGUCCGAUUAGCUAGNGGUGGGGUAAUGGCCUACCAAGGCGACGAUCGGUAGCCGGCCUGAGAGGGCGGACGGCCACACUGGGACUGAGACACGGCCCAGACUCCUACGGGAGGCAGCAGUGGGGAAUUUUUCGCAAUGGGGGAAACCCUGACGAAGCAACGCCGCGUGGAGGAUGAAGGCCUUCGGUC
rnacentral:rRNA from 1 species